UCACUUUCGUUGCUUGCUUGAUAUAUGAUAGGACUUAGGGCUAAAUUAAGACUGACUUUUAUUGAUUAAAUCAAAAGAAAACUAACAAUCAAUCCUGACCUACAAUUCGAGAGGUAGGUCAAUCUCUCCCAAAACUCCUAAUGGUUCCUAAUACCAGACAAUACUCAACAUAAACCCUAAAUGACUCCAUAAUCUUUUAUUUAUAGCUAAACCCUAAUUAAUAAUAAAGUUACUAAAUUGCCCCUGCCCCUAAAAUUACUAAAUAGCCCCUGCUCUUUUAUAUUUGCGCCUAACAUAAGUUUUCAUGGGUCUAACAUUACUCCCCUCCCAAAAAGACACCUUGUCCUCAAGGUGAAAUCUAGGAAACUGCUGCCUCUUCUUCCUCGCCUUCUUCCUCGUCACACACAGUCAAGACUUGUAGUGAUUUAUCCUUACAUCGAUGCCCUAGUGAAAAUUUCUCAUCGCAUCGAAAACACACCCCCUUCGCCCUUUUAUCCUGAAUCUCUGUCUCUGUGAGGCGUUUGAAAGUCACCCCUAGUCGUGCCCCACUAACCCGAUCCCUUUGGGAAUCUCUCUGUAAACCCAUCAUUUGCAUUUUCUGGCCUCCCGAUGGUGUAUUUUGGAACUCUCGCUGAAACCCCAAAGUCUGAGUUUUCUGUCCUACCAAUGGUGUGCUAUUUCGAUAUGAAAAAUCGACUGACCUGCUCCUAUUAAUCUGUUCUAUUGUGUUCUUAUCCUCAAUCAUCUGUGCCAACUCCAUUGACUCCCCUAACCCUCUCGGCCUUAGCAAGCGUAGCGAGGCUCGGAUUUCUAGCUUCAGUCCCUUCAUAAAAUUCCCUUCCAACACUGCCUUUGAGAUGUCCCAUUGACGUCCCGACAACAGCUCAAACUUUUUCCUAUACUCCAUGACCGUUCUCUCCUGGGUCAAGGCAAAAAAUUGUUCAUGCAAAUCCCCUUCUUGAGUGGCCCGAAAUCUCUCCAAUAGCCGGUCCUUAAAUUCACCCCACGACCUCAAUAGUUGUCGUUGUUCUCGCCAUUGAAACCAUGCAAGUACCUUUCCCUCCAAACAUAACGCCGCUGCCAUUAAUUUUUCCCUCUCUGAGAGUUCAUUGAUGGUCAAAUAGCACUCUACCCUAUACACCCAUCCAUAAGCAUCCUCGCCUUCGAAAAUGGGCAUUUUCAGCUUUCUUACCCUAGAAUCCGCUCCAAAUUGAGUCUGACCCGCCCAAUUUCGUGCCAUUAGAGGUCGCCAAACUCCCGAAUCUACUCUAGUGUCUACAAAUCCCGAAGACCCAACCCAAAAUUCUCCUUGCCCAGCCCCAUAUUGGGCUGAAAUCCCUCGCCCAACUGCAUUCCGGUCAUAACCGCUCCCUUUCUUGCAGGUAACCCCUCUUCCUGGCCAUCCGCCCCUAAAUACGACCUGUCCAGACCUAAAAUCGCCCUGCCCAGGCCCACAGCAGCCCUGCCCAGCCCAAAAUUCGGCCUGCCCAGGCCGUGUGUCACCCCCAAAUGCCGCCAAGUCGCCAAGCCCGUCCACCCCCGAAUCUCGCGCGCCCCAUUCCGAUGCCGAAGCACCGAUUCCCAAUCCUAAACUGCCUCCUCCAGCCGCGUAACCCUCAGAUCCACCGCCCCCAGUCGCAACCCAGCCUCCUUCGCCACACCCAACACCAGGAAAGGCUCCCCUAGGCCGUAAGUCCCCUAGGCUAACCUCCCCGCCACCAAAUCCGCCGUGAACUGUUGCCCAUGGCUGUGCAAGACUGGUGGUUUUCGACCCUCCGCAAUCUGUGCCGUUGCCGAGCACGGGUUUCGUGUCGCCCGAUCCUUCUACCACCACACCGUCUUGGCCUGUUGAUACUGCCAAUGGUGGGUUGAGGUGGAGUUCUAUCAAUUUCAACAACAUGGCUUCAAGGGAUGAAAAUUUUUGUUGAACGUUAUUAAAUCGCUCGUCAAUGGUGGCCUUGAGCGAUCCAAUCUCCGCUUCCAAUUUUUCUUCAAGUGCGUCCACUUUCUUUGAUGCCAUUGUCUCAGGAUUCUUGCUCUGAUACCACUUUGAUAGGACUUAGGGCUAAAUUAAGACUGACUUUUAUUGAUUAAAUCAAAAGAAAACUAACAAUCAAUCCUGACCUACAAUUCGAGAGGUAGGUCAAUCUCUCCCAAAACUCCUAAUGGUUCCUAAUACCAGACAAUACUCAACAUAAACCCUAAAUGACUCCAUAAUCUCUUAUUUAUAGCUAAACCCUAAUUAAUAAUAAAGUUACUAAAUUGCCCCUGCCCCUAAAAUUACUAAACAGCCCCUGCUCUUUUAUAUUUGCGCCUAACAUAAGUUUUCAUGGGUCUAACAAUAUAUUAUCUCUAUUCUGCAUGGCAUGCAGCAGAGAGGUUACCAUCUUACAGAAGCUAGUACUGUAUCCAGUUCUGAAAGAAUGAUAAUUGAUUAGGAUGAAAACCUACUGUCAGUGCACAGAUGACUUUUGGUCAUUUUGCAUAAUUACUCUUCCUAUUUAUAUGCCUAGUGUCUAUUAUUGAUAGAACCUCAUUUCAUCAAUUGCAAGUGGC
rnacentral:lncRNA from 1 species